UACGAGAGCAUCGAGCGUUAUCCGGAAUUAUUGGGCGUAAAGGGUGCGUAGGUUGUUCUGUUAGUCUUUUGUCAAAGCCCCGGGCUUAACCUGGGACACGCGGAAGAAACGGCAGAACUUGAAAGUGCGAGAGGUGUACGGAACUCAUGGUGUAGGGGUGAAAUCCGUUGAUAUCAUGGGGAACACCAAAAGCGAAAGCAGUACACUGGCGCAUAUUUGACACUGAAGCACGAAAGCAUGGGUAGCGAAUGGG
rnacentral:rRNA from 1 species